UGACAAUCUCAGUCACUCAUCCCUCCGUCUUGCAACGCUCUCUUCCUUCUAGGAAGGGAUAUCAACCACCGGCCAAGAUGUCAGAUAAAAAGAUGUCGUCGAGUCGCAGGCAACAUCUGAAGAGCUUGAUGCUCCAGAUUGCCCAGGGGUUCAUAGAGGCUGAGGCCAUCCAGGCAGAGGAGGACAAAAACAGCUACAUGGAUGAGAAUGUCCCAUCCUUCUCCGUCCCUGAAUCCAUGCAGGAACUCCAGGUAUGAAGAGCGGUAGCUGUUGACCAACCUAUGGAGAGCUACUGUGUGUGCAGGUUUUUGCUCCAGACCCACUAUAACAUAACU
rnacentral:lncRNA from 1 species